AGGAGGAGGGGCGAGAUAGGGUCCUGAGGGCAGAGAGGCAGGUUCUCUGGAGGGGACAGUCACAGGUGGAGAAAUGGGAGGAGCGGGUGCUCUCAGGGGUGCUGGAGGCCUCCAAGGCGCUGCUGGAAGAGCAGCUGGAGGCUGCCCGAGAGCGCUGCGCCCGGCUGCACGAGACCCAGCGCGAGAACCUGCUGCUGCGAACCCGGCUGGGCGAGGCCCAUGCGGUAAGGAGCUGGACUCUCUGCGGCAUCAGGUGGACCAGCUGGCUGAGGAGAAUGUGGAGCUGGAGCUGGAGCUUCAGCGGAGCUUGGAGCCACCUCCAGGAUCCCCUGGGGAGGCACCCCUAGCAGGAGCGGCCCCCUCGCUGCAAGAUGAGGUGAGGGAGGCAGAGGCUGGGCGGCUUCGGACCCUUGAGAGGGAGAACCGGGAGCUUCGGGGGCUGCUUCAGGUGCUUCAGGGGCAGCCAGGGGGCCAGCACCCCCUGCUGGAGGCACCGAGAGAGGACCCUGUUCUUCCAGUGCUGGAGGAGGCUCCCCAGACUCCUGUGGCCUCCGACCACAGCCCUCAGGGCUUGGUUCAGAAGGCAAGGGAUGGAGGCCCCCAGGCCUUGGACUUGGCUCCCCUGGCAUUAGACUCAGUGCUCGAGGCAUCAGCUGAGUGUCCCCAGGCACCUGAUUCAGACCCACAGGAGGCAGAGAGUCCCCUUCAGGCAGCUGCCAUGGACCCCCAGGCCUCAGACUGGUCCCCGCAAGAGUCAGGCUCUCCUGUGGAGACACAGGAGUCCCCGGAGAAGGCUGGCCGUAGAUCCUCUCUCCAGAGCCCUGCCUCUGUGGCCCCACCUCAGGGUCCAGGGACCAAAAUUCAGGCCCCGCAGUUGCUGGGAGGAGAGACAGAGGGAAGAGAGGCUCCCCAAGGCGAGUUGGUGCCUGAGGCCCGGGGAUUGAGACAGGAGGGCCCUGAGCACAAGCCAGGGCCUUCGGAGCCCAGCUCUGUGCAGCUGGAGGAGCAGGAGGGCCCAAACCAGGGCCUGGACCUGGCCACGGGACAAGCAGAGGCCAGAGAGCAUGACCAGAGGCUGGAAGGGACGGUCAGGGUCCCAGCCUGGCAAAAACCACAGCAGAAGUCAGAAGGGGCUCUUGAGGUCCAGGUCUGGGAAGGCCCAAUCCCAGGGGAGAGCCUGGCCAGUGGUGUCGCAGAGCAGGAGGCCCUCAGGGAGGAGGUGGCACAGUUGAGGAGAAAGGCUGAGGCCCUUGGAGAUGAGCUGGAAGCCCAGGCCCGCAAGCUGGAGGCCCAAAACACGGAGGCUGCCCGCCUCUCCAAGGAGCUGGCCCAAGCGCGAAGGGCAGAGGCCGAGGCCCACCGGGAGGCAGAGGCCAAGGCCUGGGAGCAAGCCCGGCUGCGGGAGGCAGUGGAGGCUGCUGGCCGGGAGCUGGAGUCUGCGUCCCAGGAACGGGAGGCGCUGGUGGAGGCGCUGGCAGCAGCGGGCCGGGAGCGGAGGCAGUGGGAGCGUGAGGGGUCCAGGCUGCGGGCCCAGUCGGAGGCCGCCGAGGAACGGAUGCAGGUGCUGGAGAGCGAGGGCCGCCAGCACUUGGAGGAGGCUGAGAGGGAGCGCCGGGAGAAGGAGGCCCUCCAGGCGGAGCUGGAGAAAGCUGUGGUGCGGGGCAAGGAGUUGGGGGCCCGGCUGGAGCAUUUGCAGCGUGAGCUGGAGCAGGCGGCUCUUGAGCGCCAGGAAUUUCUGCGAGAAAAGGAAAGCCAGCACCAGAGGUACCAGGGCUUGGAGCAGCGGCUGGAAGCUGAGCUGCAGGCGGCGGCGACCAGCAAGGAGGAGGCGCUGAUGGAGCUCAAGACCAGGGCCCUGCAGCUGGAAGAGGAGCUGUUCCAGGUGAUGCCUGCCCGCCUGGGAGCUGGGGGCCAUGCCACCCUGCCCUCCAUCCCAUAAGCAGAUGCCAGGGUCAUCUGUGCUCCUAGUCUUGCCUCUGGAUUCUUGGCUAGCUACUUGCCUCACUCCCCAUGUGGGGCCUGUUGGAGAGAGCACUGUGCUGGGAGUCAGGUGGCCGUGUUGACUUAUCUGGGGUCUCAUUUUCCCCAUUCUGCACAUGGACAGAACUUCUGCUGUGGAUGACUGCUCCGCCUGUCUCACCCGAGGUCCCCCACUGCCUAGGGAGCUCAGUGCUUGGCAUCAAGGAAGCCAGCGAUGGUUUCUGAUGCCCAGGCUGUGUGCGGGCUCCACACGGAGGGUGGGGUGGUGGUGGGGCCCAAUCCCAGGCUGCCAUCCUCAGGGAGCUCACAGGACAGUCAGGAUAGAGGCAAGAAAACAGGUGACAAUAACUAGGUGCCAGGGGCUGUGAGGAGGCCAUGCAGGGGCUUGGGAGGGUGGUACCCAGCAAGAUACCCAGCAGGUGCAUGCGAGUCUAUCAGGGAAGGUUUUGUGGAGAAGGUGGGGUUGAAACAGAGGCUUAGAGAAGGCCCCGUACAGCAGCUCAUGCCUGUAAUCCCAGCACUUUGGGAGGCCAAGGCAGGUGGAUCACCUGAGGUCAGGAGUUUGAGACCAGCAUGACCAAUAUGGUGAAACCCCAUCUCUACUAAAAAUACAAAAAUCAGGCUGGGCGUGGCGGCUCACGCCUGUAAUCCCAGCACUUUGGGAGGCCGAGGCAGAUGGAUCAUGAGGUCAGGAGAUCGAGAGCAUCCUGAUGAACACCGUGAAACCCCAUCUCUACUAAAAAUACAACAACAACAACAAAAAUUAGCUGUUAGCUGGGCAUGGUAGUGGGCGCCUGUAGUCCCAGCUACUCAGGAGGCCGAGGCAGGGGAAUUGCUUGAACCUGGGAGGAGGAGGUUGCAGUGAGCCGAGAUCACACCACUGCACUCCAGCCCGGGUGACAGAGCGAGACUCCGUCUCAAAAAAACCC
rnacentral:sRNA from 1 species